rnacentral:lncRNA from 1 species
GUCUACAGGCCUGGCUGGAGCUGGGGAGAGACGCUCAGCCCUGCCCCCCCCGGCUCCUUGUGCUCGCAGCCCUUCCUGGAGGAGAGGCGCGGAGGCUGCCCCCACUCCAAGCUGCCGGGCCCGGAGACAGAGCCACCCAGCCGCCCGCACCAAGAUAGCACAGAGCCCCCUCCCUCCAGGAAGUCAGUGUCCUGUGCUCCUGAGCGUCCCCCUGAGGCCGAGGAGCGCAAGAGCGACCGCAGGGAGAAUCGCAGCAGCACUUUCUUUGGGUACCGGCGGCAGGAGCAGCGCCAGUCCAUCUUGGAGCCCCCGGAGCCCAAGGAGGAGAAGUGGAGACUCUCCUGGAACAUGACUGAGAGCUGCCUGGCCGGUGCCGAGGGAAAACAGUCACCCCUGGAGAGAGAUGCCAGCGCUGCAUCCCCUAGUGCAACAGGGGCGUCAGGAUCCCCCCGGGGCUUCGCAGGUCGGGUGAAGAGCGCCAGCAAGGCCCCCCCACUGCCCCGCAAAAUCAGCUCCAGCGUCUAUGAGACCUUCAUGGAGCAGAACGCCACACCCAACAGUGGGAAGCUGACAGUGGAUGGAAGUAAAGGGCUGAAAUCACCACCCCCGCCACCCCUCAAAUCCAAGCGCAUAUCCCAGGCCUGACCUGGCCCACUGCCCGCGAUCGGCUCCCUCGCUGUCCCACUCAGGAGGGUGACUUUGCUGAUGAAGGUGUUUGCUGGCUGCUUGGCACACCCCCCCCCCCCCCCCCCNGGCCAGACUCAGUCGUCUUUCCUAUGGCAGCCUGAGCAUCCCACCACCCCCGCACCCUGGUUCCCGUGUGCUUGGAGCUGCAGAAGCCCCAGCCUAGCCCAGCCUCCCUCUCACAGGAGGCACCAGCCUAGGUCAGGCCUAGGG